UAGAGUUUGAUCCUGGCUCAGAACGAACGCUGGCGGCGUGGAUAAGACAUGCAAGUCGAACGGAAUGCCAUGAGUAGCAAUACAAGUGGUGUUUAGUGGCGAACGGGUGCGUAACACGUGGAUACAUUCCGGGAAGCGGGGGAUAGCCCAGGGAAACUUGGAUUAAUACCGCAUGUGAUCGAAAGAUCAAAGACGGGGACCGCAAGGCCUGUCACUUCCCGAUUGGUCCGCGGCCUAUCAGCUAGUUGGCGGGGUAAAAGCCCACCAAGGCGACGACGGGUAGCUGGUCUGAGAGGACGACCAGCCACACUGGAACUGAGACACGGUCCAGACACCUACGGGUGGCAGCAGUCGAGAAUCUUUCACAAUGGGGGCAACCCUGAUGGAGCGACGCCGCGUGGAGGAUAAGGUCUUCGGAUUGUAAACUCCUGUCAUGCGUGAACAAGGCCGCCGGGUUAAUAACCUGAGCGGGUUGAUGGUAACGCAAGAGGAAGAGACGGCUAACUCUGUGCCAGCAGCCGCGGUAAUACAGAGGUCUCAAGCGUUGUUCGGAAUCACUGGGCGUAAAGGGUACGUAGGUGGCGAGGUAAGUCAGAUGUGAAAGCCCGGGGCUCAACCUCGGAAUUGCAUCCGAUACUGCCCUGCUCGAGUACUGAAGGGGUGACUAGAAUUCUCGGUGUAGCAGUGAAAUGCGUAGAUAUCGAGAGGAAUACCAAAGGCGUAGGCAGGUCACUGGGCAGUUACUGACACUGAGGCACGAAGGCCAGGGGAGCGAACGGGAUUAGAUACCCCGGUAGUCCUGGCAGUAAACGGUGCAUACUUGGUGUGGGAGGAUUCGACCCCCCCUGUGCCGGAGCUAACGCGUUAAGUAUGCCGCCUGGGAAGUACGGUCGCAAGAUUAAAACUCAAAGAAAUUGACGGGGGCCCGCACAAGCGGUGGAUGAUGUGGAUUAAUUCGAUGCAACGCGAAGAACCUUACCUACCCUUGACAUGCCAGGAACCCUGCUGAGAGGUGGGGGUGCCCGAAAGGGAAUCUGGACACAGGUGCUGCAUGGCUGUCGUCAGCUCGUGUCGUGAGAUGUUGGGUUAAGUCCCGCAACGAGCGCAACCCUUGCCAUUAGUUGCUACGAAAGGGCACUCUAAUGGGACUGCCGGUGACAAACCGGAGGAAGGUGGGGAUGACGUCAAGUCCUCAUGGCCCUUAUGGGUAGGGCUUCACACGUCAUACAAUGGUCGGUACAGAGGGUUGCCAACCCGCGAGGGGGAGCCAAUCCCACAAAGCCGAUCGUAGUCCGGAUCGCAGUCUGCAACUCGACUGCGUGAAGUCGGAAUCGCUAGUAAUCGCAGAUCAGCUAUGCUGCGGUGAAUAUGUUCCUGAGCCUUGUACACACCGCCCGUCAAGCCACGAAAGCGGGGGGUGCCUGAAGUCGCUGUGCUAACCGCAAGGGGGCAGGUGCCUAGGGCAAACUUCGUGAUUGGGACUAAGUCGUAACAAGGUAACCGUA
rnacentral:rRNA from 1 species